GAGCGGAGAGAAGUAGCUUGCUACUGAUCUUAGCGGCGGACGGGUGAGUAAUACUUAGGAAUCUGGCUAUUAGUGGGGGACAACAUUUCGAAAGGGAUGCUAAUACCGCAUACGUCCUACGGGAGAAAGCAGGGGAUCAGUAAUGACCUUGCGCUAAUAGAUGAGCCUAAGUCGGAUUAGCUAGUUGGUGGGGUAAAGGCCUACCAAGGCGACGAUCUGUAGCGGGUCUGAGAGGAUGAUCCGCCACACUGGGACUGAGACACGGCCCAGACUCCUACGGGAGGCAGCAGUGGGGAAUAUUGGACAAUGGGGGGAACCCUGAUCCAGCCAUGCCGCUUGUGUGAAGAAGGCCUUAUGGUUGUAAAGCACUUUAAGCGAGGAGGAGGGUACUGGUAUUAAUACUACCAGGUACUGGACGUUACUCGCAGAAUAAGCACCGGCUAACUCUGUG
rnacentral:rRNA from 1 species